rnacentral:rRNA from 1 species
CUCAGAUUGAACGCUGGCGGCAGGCCUAACACAUGCAAGUCGAGCGGUAACAUUUCUAGCUUGCUAGAAGAUGACGAGCGGCGGACGGGUGAGUAAUGCUUGGGAACAUGCCUUGAGGUGGGGGACAACAGUUGGAAACGACUGCUAAUACCGCAUAAUGUCUACGGACCAAAGGGGGCUUCGGCUCUCGCCUUUAGAUUGGCCCAAGUGGGAUUAGCUAGUUGGUGAGGUAAUGGCUCACCAAGGCGACGAUCCCUAGCUGGUUUGAGAGGAUGAUCAGCCACACUGGGACUGAGACACGGCCCAGACUCCUACGGGAGGCAGCAGUGGGGAAUAUUGCACAAUGGGCGCAAGCCUGAUGCAGCCAUGCCGCGUGUGUGAAGAAGGCCUUCGGGUUGUAAAGCACUUUCAGUCAGGAGGAAAGGUUAGUAGUUAAUACCUGCUAGCUAUGACGUUACUGACAGAAGAAGCACCGGCUAACUCCGUGCCAGCAGCCGCGGUAAUACGGAGGGUGCGAGCGUUAAUCGGAAUUACUGGGCGUAAAGCGUACGCAGGCGGUUUGUUAAGCGAGAUGUGAAAGCCCCGGGCUCAACCUGGGAACUGCAUUUCGAACUGGCAAACUAGAGUGUGAUAGAGGGUGGUAGAAUUUC